AGAGUUUGAUCCUGGCUCAGGAUGAACGCUAGCGACAGGCUUAACACAUGCAAGUCGAGGGGCAGCAUGAUUUGUAGCAAUACAGAUUGAUGGCGACCGGCGCACGGGUGAGUAACGCGUAUGCAACUUACCUAUCAGAGGGGGAUAGCCCGGCGAAAGUCGGAUUAAUACCCCAUAAAACAGGGGUCCCGCAUGGGAAUAUUUGUUAAAGAUUCAUCGCUGAUAGAUAGGCAUGCGUUCCAUUAGGCAGUUGGCGGGGUAACGGCCCACCAAACCGACGAUGGAUAGGGGUUCUGAGAGGAAGGUCCCCCACAUUGGUACUGAGACACGGACCAAACUCCUACGGGAGGCAGCAGUGAGGAAUAUUGGUCAAUGGCCGAGAGGCUGAACCAGCCAAGUCGCGUGAAGGAAGAAGGAUCUAUGGUUUGUAAACUUCUUUUAUAGGGGAAUAAAGUGGAGGACGUGUCCUUUUUUGUAUGUACCCUAUGAAUAAGCAUCGGCUAACUCCGUGCCAGCAGCCGCGGUAAUACGGAGGAUGCGAGCGUUAUCCGGAUUUAUUGGGUUUAAAGGGUGCGUAGGUGGUGAUUUAAGUCAGCGGUGAAAGUUUGUGGCUCAACCAUAAAAUUGCCGUUGAAACUGGGUUACUUGAGUGUGUUUGAGGUAGGCGGAAUGCGUGGUGUAGCGGUGAAAUGCAUAGAUAUCACGCAGAACUCCGAUUGCGAAGGCAGCUUACUAAACCAUAACUGACACUGAAGCACGAAAGCGUGGGGAUCAAACAGGAUUAGAUACCCUGGUAGUCCACGCAGUAAACGAUGAUUACUAGGAGUUUGCGAUACAAUGUAAGCUCUACAGCGAAAGCGUUAAGUAAUCCACCUGGGGAGUACGCCGGCAACGGUG
rnacentral:rRNA from 2 species